AGGUUCAGGGUUGAGCAUAAGCCUCGAAGUGGUUCCAGGAUCUUUAAGACGGGCAGGGGCGUUGAUACCCGGAUGUUCGCUACUAUAAAGCCUACUGGAGACAUUUGUUCGCUACCCCAUCUCCGGCAAGACGCAAGAUAUCACGAUCAUCAACAAACCUUGGUUUGAAAGCUCCAAACACCUGCAGUGAGAAUGAGCACCAUUCAGCCACAAAUCAACGUUAUCUUGUACAGCAAUGCCGAUCUUAAUGGCGACUGUGUACAAGUCCCGGCAGACAUAGCGGAUUUGAAAGGCUUUAAAAACCGGGCACAAUCAGCCAUUGUAAUCCAUGGAAAUUGGGAGCUGGCAAGCAGUGAGGGAAACACUUAUGCUAUAAGCGAGAGCACCGGAAGGUAUACCAACCUUGGUAGUUUCAACCAAAAGGCCGUCUCCAUCAGGCGAACAUAAGGCGACGUUGCCAUGAAGUACGACCCUCUCAAGGAAGGAUGGAUUGAACAAGAGCUGACAUAGCAGCCACCUUAUAAGCGCAGCUUAAUGCUUUUUCCUUGUUAUAUACUCCAGAUUACCUUGCUAUUAAUGUCCAAUAUUUGCUUUAGUGGGUUACGCUCACUGCCUUUUGGAACAGAAUUUGAAUUCAAAAUCAUGAAUGGUCAUUAUUUCAAAGAGCAAUUACCGAAUUAUAACCCCAAAUACGUUGCCGGUAAUUUCUUAGUGAAAUUCUAAAGAUCGAAAAUACAACGCAGGAAAUAAUUGUUCUUUUCUAUUCUGUUACUCUCAGUGUAACACUAGCAUUUCCGUCUGUACGCCUUGCAUCACAUGUGCUGCUAUGAUCUGUCUAUAUUACAACGAAAACUCAAAGGAUGCAGUUGACAUUUUGUCGUCUCAAACUGACGUAGAUGUACUUAAAGCUUCAACAUGUGUCAGUAUCAGAUUAAAUUAUAAGGAACAGUCCAUGUUUCUGCAUCCGCUACUAUUUUAAAUGAUAAUGAAAGUUCUUCUCUCAAGUAGUUUCAUGUGGGGCUUUGCAGUUUAAAAUGUCAUUUCACACCAAAUUGAAUCAGGAAAUAAAAAACAAAACUCAAUUUAUACUUUGACUCGAUCAUCGCUCGUUGUUGAAAAUAAAUAUUGAUGAAAUAUUAA